rnacentral:sRNA from 1 species
CUUCGUAUACUAACUGCGGACAUAUGAAAUGCACAUGACAGUCAAUAGCUCCUGCAGUUACAAUCAUUCCUUCUCCAGCAAUAACUUCAGUCUUAUUCUAAUAAAAUCAACAAGAGGAGGUAAGUAGCCCAAUAUGGUAACUACAGUGUUCAUACAGUGUAUCAAAAUUACCCCUAUAAGCAUAUUGCUCUGCACACCAUGCAUGGUAUCUGGAUUGCCUGCUUUGCCAAGACCGACAAUAUGACCAUUUCUAAUGCCAAUAUCUGCCUUAUAUAUUCCUGUAUAAUCAAUUAUCACACUAUUGGUAAUGACAGUAUCCAAAGAAAGAGCUUCAGAUUGCUCUAUCCCUUGUCCCAUG